rnacentral:rRNA from 1 species
AACGCGAAGAACCUUACCUGGGUUUGACAUGCACUUGACCACUACAGAGAUGUAGUUUUCUCGCAAGAGACAGGUGCACAGGUGCUGCAUGGCUGUCGUCAGCUCGUGCCGUGAGGUGUUGGGUUAAGUCCCGCAACGAGCGCAACCCUUGUCAUUAGUUGCCAGCAUGUAAAGAUGGGCACUCUAAUGAGACUGCCUGGGUUAACCAGGAGGAAGGUGAGGAUGACGUCAAGUCCGCAUGGCCUUUAUAUCCAGGGCUACACACGUGCUACAAUGGCCGGUACAGAGGGCAGCAAGACCGCAAGGUGGAGCAAAUCCUAAAAGCCGGCCCCAGUUCAGAUUGUAGUCUGCAACUCGACUACAUGAAGAUGGAAUUGCUAGUAAUGGCGAGUCAGCAACAUCGCCGUGAAUACGUUCCCGGGCCUUGUACACACCGGCUAC